CCUGAGAAACCCAAAAGAUCGAAUGGGGAGAUUCAUCGUCAGCUCAUUUUAUAUAUAUACUAGUUAUGAUAUGGGUUACUACUUGUAGUAUUGCCUGUACAUUCUUGUAUAUUUAAUUGUAAGAUGUUGUCGGCGUGCACUUCUCCUCUAGUAGGACGUCGCGACCCGUUGAGUGUUGGUCUACGGCCCAAGUGGGAGCUUUUAAUAAAUUCCUAUUUAUUGAAAACCCUUGGUGUUUCCUGACUGGCACUCGUCGGUAUUCGUAUGGUAUUGAGCCGCAUACUAUAUGCGUCCAUAUCUGUCACAAGCGAGGUUAGUUACUAAUAGUACGGACCUAGUGCCGUCGUUGGUGCUAAUCAGCUGUUGGUUGUACAGAAUUCUAGGACUGGCUUGUUGAAAUACCGGUCAGCGAUGCUACUGCUUUGGU
rnacentral:rRNA from 2 species